rnacentral:rRNA from 1 species
GAUGAACGCUGGCGGCGUGCCUAAUACAUGCAAGUCGAGCGAACGGACGAGAAGCUUGCUUCUCUGAUGUUAGCGGCGGACGGGUGAGUAACACGUGGAUAACCUACCUAUAAGACUGGGAUAACUUCGGGAAACCGGAGCUAAUACCGGAUAAUAUUUUGAACCGCAUGGUUCAAAAGUAAAAGACGGUCUUGCUGUCACUUAUAGAUGGAUCCGCGCUGCAUUAGCUAGUUGGUAAGGUAACGGCUUACCAAGGCAACGAUGCAUAGCCGACCUGAGAGGGUGAUCGGCCACACUGGAACUGAGACACGGUCCAGACUCCUACGGGAGGCAGCAGUAGGGAAUCUUCCGCAAUGGGCGAAAGCCUGACGGAGCAACGCCGCGUGAGUGAUGAAGGUCUUCGGAUCGUAAAACUCUGUUAUUAGGGAAGAACAUAUGUGUAAGUAACUGUGCACAUCUUGACGGUACCUAAUCAGAAGGCCACGGCUACUACGUG